rnacentral:rRNA from 1 species
CGAAUAGCAUAUAAUAUUCACGUAUUACAUUUUUAUUUCUCAAAGAAUACAACCUGAACUCAGACGUGAUUACCCGCUGAACUUAAGCAUAUCAUUUAGC